UACAUCGGUUGCUAUAACGACAAACCGAGGAUUCUGGCUGAUAUGCACAGAUCUCCAAGUCAAUCAACAGAAAACUGUCUUACACUUUGUCGAAACAAGGGCUUACCCUUUUCAAUGACUGAAUAUGCCAACGAAUGCUGGUGCGGUGCAGAUGUAAAUUUCGCCAUCGCCGAGAAGAUACCAGAGUCCAGAUGCAACAUGACUUGUGUAGGUAAUACGAGUCAAAAAUGUGGAGGCCCCGACAGUGGAAAUCUAUAUCGGACAAGAGUUUAGGAAGGUACAGAUCGUUUUUAAAGGAUGAAUUGUUCACUUCAUGAACAUCUUUGUGGCAUUUUCUCGUGUGAAUUUUGACACUUCUUUUGAAACAACAUAAAAAAUAGAGAAAUAACAAAAACAACUAUCAGAAUAUACCGGGGUAUACUAAAAAAGCCAUAAUCAUAACAAAUUAUCAAAAUUUGACUUUCAUGAUUGGUAUCAUUGACCCAAUACGGGCAUCUUUUUAUAGGUUAUUUUCAGAGUUUGGUUUUAAAGAAUACUUAAAAAAGAUACAGGUGGUUAAAUUUCGAAUUGCAUUAACAAGAUUCCGAUUGUCAGCACACAGAUUAGCAAUUUCAACAGGCCGAUGGCACAAACCAAAUAAAAUACCUAGAAAUGAAAAAAAUGUUAUGUAUGCAAAACUCUUGAAGACGAGUUUUAUUUUUUAUUGGAGUGUAGUGUACAAUGUAUAUAAAAACUUAAGAAUAAAAUACAUUGACAAAUAUUUUUAGAAAUAUCCUAAUAUAUCGAAAUUUAUUGAACUUAUGAAAACAGAAAAUGAAUAUACACUUAAACAAUAAGCAAGUUUGGUAUUUAAAUCUUUCGAAUGGAGAAAUCAGAUGUUAUUUCAAACCUUAUUUUUCUCCUUACCAUGUCAGCAGUGACUAUGCUAUUUUUCCUGUGUUUUCUAUAUGUUUUGCAUAUAUGUAUGUAAAAAUUGUAACAUUGUUUAUUUUUCUGAUGUUUGGACAGCCACCAUUGGCUUAUUGUUUUGCAAAUUGUAAUUGUAAGAUUUUUUGUAUUGUAUAAACUAAUGGGUUGUAACCUUUUGUUUAAUAAACUAUGUAUCUAUCAUUGCAACACAUGUACAGACUUACUUUGUUUCAGUCAUUAAAAUGUGCCGAGAGGUUAAAAAUGAGAUUUUCAAAAAAUAUGCUACUGGAAAUGCGAGAAUCGUCUUUAAAAAUGCUGUAAGCUUUUUGUAUUGUAACUAUGACUACCUGAUUGUAGAUUAUUUAAAACAAAUCGAUAGAAAUGUAUGAUAAGCGUUCAUAUUUAGAAUUGAAUCAUCAAUAAAUUUAUUGAGUCAGUCCUCGAGCCUACGAUCGCCUUUUAACUGCUCAGAAAGUAUCGUUCUGUUAUCUCACAUCAAGAGAAGGCAUGCCAUUGAAGAAAAUAUAAUCAUUAGAUUCGAUAUAUUAUGUAAAAGGAAUGAAGAUUGAGAAGUAUUCUUCAAAGGAACUUCAAAAAAAAUAUUUUUUUUUCUAAAAAGCUAAUUUAUCACAACUUAUAUUAACCUUAAUAAAUUUAAAUGAAAACCUUUUUUUUAUAUAGAACUACAUUUAAAUAACAAAUAUAACUACUAUUCUUGACGUUAAGAUAUCGCAAAUAAUAUAAAACGCAAAUAUUUGGGAUAACCCAGUCAAAAUAAAUAACGAGAUUAAUCGGGAAAUGUUCCUAUGAUUAAGGCGGAAUCGAAAACAUAACAAGGAAAGACAAUUGUU